rnacentral:pre_miRNA from 1 species
AGCUGGAGAGGAGGCAAGAUGUUGGCAUAGCUGUUGAACUAAGAACCUGCUAUGCCAACAUAUUGCCAUCUUUCUUGUCUAUCAGCA